AACCAAAAAACUAAGUCAUAUAUAAUACAGUAAAAAGACAGUUAGACAAUACUAUACAUACAGUUUCUUGAUUAUUCAUAUAAAAGUAAAAUUUGAAUAUGAAUAUAAUAAUUUAGUGAUAACUUAAAAGUUGAAUCUGUGACAACUUUGAGGGAAACUGGGAUUGGAUACCCCACUAUUCUUAGUUGUAAAUAAAUUUCUAGUAUGAUUUACUUGAGGACUAUGAAUAUAAAAAAAUUUAAAACUCAAAGGGCUUGGCGGUGUUUCAGACCACUUAGGGGAACCUGUCUCAUAAUCGAUAAUCCACGUUAAACCUGACCUUUUUUUGUAAAUCAGUUUGUAUACCGUCGUCGUCAGGUAACUCUUAAAAAAUUAAAAGUUAGCUAGACAAUAGUAUAAAUUAAGACGUCAGAUCAGGGUGCAACUUAUAGAAAGGCGAGGAUGGGUUACAAUUAUAGACUUAUAAUUACGGAGAACUAAAAAAAUAAGUAGUUUGAAGGAGGACUUAAAAGUAAUUUUAAUUAUAUAAAAAAUUUGAAUAAGGCUCUGAAACGUGC
rnacentral:rRNA from 1 species